rnacentral:ribozyme from 1 species
GGGGAGGAGGGAGGAAGAAGCUGGUUUAGAAAUUCAUUUGAUUUUACAAAAGCAGGAUUACACAAGUUUCUUUUUUUUUUUUUUUUUUUUUGAUUUAUAAUGCCAAAAAAAAAUAA